ncrna:unclassified sequences pemK RNA
ACAAUGAUACUUCUGCCCAGUCACAGCCCCGGGGUUCCGGGAUCACGCAAUGAGGGCAGCCCCGCGAGAACCGCGGAGGGGUUAGAGUCCCAUGA